rnacentral:rRNA from 1 species
UACGGAGGGUGCAAGCGUUAAUCGGAAUUACUGGGCGUAAAGCGCACGCGGGCGGUCUGUCAAGUCGGAUGUGAAAUCCCCGGGCUCAACCUGGGAACUGCAUUCGAAACUGGCAGGCUGGAGUCUUGUAGAGGGGGGUAGAAUUCCAGGUGUAGCGGUGAAAUGCGUAGAGAUCUGGAGGAAUACCGGUGGCGAAGGCGGCCCCCUGGACAAAGACUGACGCUCAGGUGCGAAAGCGUGGGGAGCAAACAGGAUUAGAUACCCUGGUAGUCCACGCCGUAAACGAUGUCGAUUUGGAGGUUGUGCCCUUGAGGCGUGGCUUCCGGGGCUAACGCGUUAAAUCGACCGCCUGGGGAGUACGGCCGCAAGGUUAAA